UUGAUUAUUUUGUUUUUUUUUCUCAGAGAUACAAUAAAAUUCAAAGAGUUUGGUUUAUCCUCCGGCGGGCGAGCCCGCCGAAGCAACAAAACGUAGGUCAGGUUCACAUGGGUUGGAGUUUUGCAACUCAGUAAUGAUCCCUCCGCUGGUUCACCAACGGAGA
rnacentral:misc_RNA from 1 species